GUGCUCAUCUUGGAAGCACAUAUACUAAAAUUGGAAUGAUUCAGAGAAGAUUAGCAUGGCCCCCUCGCAAGGAUGAUGCAAAUUUGUGAAGUGUUCCAUGUUAAA